UGGGGAAUAUUGGACAAUGGGCGCAAGCCUGAUCCAGCAAUGCCGCGUGGGUGAAGAAGGUCUUCGGAUUGUAAAGCCCUUUCGACGGGGACGAUGAUGACGGUACCCGUAGAAGAAGCCCCGGCUAACUUCGUGCCAGCAGCCGCGGUAAUACGAAGGGGGCUAGCGUUGCUCGGAAUGACUGGGCGUAAAGGGCGCGUAGGCGGAUAGUACAGUCAGAUGUGAAAUUCCUGGGCUCAACCUGGGGGCUGCAUUUGAUACGUGCUGUCUAGAGUGGGGAAGAGGGUCGUGGAAUUCCCAGUGUAGAGGUGAAAUUCGUAGAUAUUGGGAAGAACACCGGUGGCGAAGGCGGCGACCUGGUCCUUGACUGACGCUGAGGCGCGAAAGCGUGGGGAGCAAACAGG
rnacentral:rRNA from 1 species